GGUUCCGUGGUGUAGGGGUUAACAUGCCUGCCUGUCACGCAGGAGGUCGCGGGUUCGAGUCCCGUCCAUCCU
rnacentral:tRNA from 1 species